rnacentral:rRNA from 1 species
UACAGAGGUGGCAAGCGUUGUUCGGAAUUACUGGGCGUAAAGGGCGCGUAGGCGGUCUUCUAAGUCCUGUGUGAAAUCCCUCGGCUCAACCGGGGAACUGCGUGUGAGACUGGAUGGCUUGAGUUUGGGAGAGGAAUGCGGAAUUCCAGGUGUAGCGGUGAAAUGCGUAGAUAUUAGGAGGAACACCGGUGGCGAAGGCGCCGCUCUGGGCCGAUACUGACGCUGAGGAGCGAAAGCGUGGGUAGCAAACAGG